rnacentral:RNase_P_RNA from 1 species
GGAAGGGGAAGCUCAUCAAUGGGUCCAUGCGCUGAGUGCUCGAGUGCUCGUCACUGCCCAGCCCUUGGAAAGGUCUGAGACUUGGGCCUCCAGCGGCCCUAACCUUGUUGUCCCCGAGUGGGGAGUUGAGUUCCCAGAGAGCAGGGCUCCACGCGUGGGCAUACUGGGCAGGAGAUGCCCAGAGUGGGCAGAUGCCUCCCUUGCCCAAGCUUGGAACAGACUCAAGGCCAGCACAAAGCGAGUUCAAUGGCUGAGGUGAAGUACCUCCUGGGCCUCAUAACCCAUUUCAGACUACUUUUUCUUACUCUUUC